GACGAACGCUGGCGGCGUGCUUAACACAUGCAAGUCGAACGGAAAGGCCCUGCUUUUAUGGGGUGCUCGAGUGGCGAACGGGUGAGUAACACGUGAGUAACCUGCCCUUGACUUUGGGAUAACUUCAGGAAACUGGGGCUAAUACCUGAUAGGAGCUCCUGCUGCAUGGUGUGGCUUGGAAAGUUUCGGCGGUUGGGGAUGGACUCGCGGUUUAUCAGCUUGUUGGUGGGGUAGUGGCUUACCAAGGCUUUGGCGGGUAUCCGGACUGAGAGGGUGACCGGGAACAUGGGGACUGUGAUACGGCACGCACUAGUAAGGGAGACAGCGGUGGGGAAUCAAGCACGACGGGCGGAAGCCUGGUGCAGGAAGGAGGCGCGCUGGAUGGUGAACUUCGUGUAGUAGGCCGCUAUCGCCUGUGAUGAAGCGUAAGUGACGGUAAUGGAUAAAGAAGCACCGGCUAACUACGUG
rnacentral:rRNA from 1 species